ACUAACUAGGAUUCCCUUAGUAGCUGCGAGCGAAACGGGAAAAGCCCACACUAAGUCCCCAAGUCGGAAACGGCUUGCGGGAGAUGCGGUGUAUAGGGCGGCCCACUUCGGCGCGUAGUCACGUAUAGUCCAAGUCCUUCUUGAAGGGGGCCGAAUCACCCAUAGAGGGUGCCAGGCCCGUAGGAUCGUUCCUUGCGUCGAAAGGGCUCGUACUCAGAGUCGAGUAGCUUGAGAGUGCUGCUCUAAUAGGGUGGUAAGAUCCAUCUAAGGCUAAAUAUGACCACGAGACCGAUAGAGAACAAGUACCAUGAGGGAAAGUUGAAAAGAACUUUGAAGAGAGAGUUCAAUAGUACGUGAAACCGUUCAGGAGUAAACCCGAGAGAGUUGAUUAUUCGAAAGGGGAGAGACAGCCGGCACGCUUUGGCGUACUCUGCGACCGCGACGGGGUAAGUGUUUCCAGAUAGUGUUCGCACUUGGCUAGGGGCUCUCGUCCGGUUGCUUUGUAUGCAGAUCUUAGUAUGUCGGUGCAUUUCUGCCCUCAGUAGAACGUCGCGUCCGUCGGCGAGUUGGUCGGUGGCCCGAGAACACAAGUUCGUUCGUUUCGAUUAAUUUCGACUCGGGCGAAGUCUCGGUGACCUGGCCAGCCAUCCGACGGACUAAGUAGGUCCGGACUGGGCUGUGGCUCUGAGACUGCUCCCCGUUUCGUACGGGGUGGUCAAAGGGGUCUGCUCAUAAGGAUUAUUGCGGCGCUGUUGUUUUGACAAUCUCGGGANNNNNNNNNNNNNNNNNNNNNNNNNNNNNAGCAUGUGGGCGAGCCAUUGGGUUUUACGAAACCCAAAGGCGUAGCGAAAUCAAAGGCGAGUUCGAAAGAGCAGCCAUGGGAUGAUGGGCGGCUGAAAAGUCGCCUCGCAAUCCCGGGGUGUCUCGUUCUCAUUGCGAGAUGAGGCGCCCUCAGAGUCCACACGCUGGGACCCGAAAGAUGUUGAACUAUGCUUGGGGAGGACGAAGCCAGGGGAAACCCUGGUGGAGGUCCGUAGCGAUUCUGACGUGCAAAUCGAUCGUCAAAUCUGAGUAUAGGGGCGAAAGACCAAUCGAAUUAUCUAGUAGCUGGUUCCCUCUGAAGUUUCCCUCAGGAUAGCGGGCAUAAAAACUUAGAGAAAUAUAAAUAUAUAUAUAGAAAGCAUAGUCACAUGCGGUAAAGCGAAUGAUUAGAGGUAUUGGGGUCGAAACGGCCUCAACCUAUUCUCAAACUUUAAAUGUGUGGGAUCUCCGGCUUACUGGGGCUGAAGCCGGUGAUCGGAUAUAGA
rnacentral:rRNA from 1 species